UACGUAGGUGGCAAGCGUUAUCCGGAUUCACUGGGUUUAAAGGGUGCGUAGGUGGGUUGGUAAGUCAGUGGUGAAAUCCCCGAGCUUAACUUGGGAACUGCCAUUGAUACUAUCAGUCUUGAAUACCGUGGAGGUCAGCGGAAUAUGUCAUGUAGCGGUGAAAUGCUUAGAUAUGACAUAGAACACCAAUUGCGAAGGCAGCUGGCUACACGGAUAUUGACACUGAGGCACGAAAGCGUGGGGAUCAAACAGG
rnacentral:rRNA from 1 species